rnacentral:antisense_RNA from 1 species
GGAAGCAGAGGAUGUUGCGCGUGCGGAAGCCGGUGCUGUCGUCCACGCCGCGGUAGAAAAGCGGAUGGGCAUAUGCGUCAGGGAUGUUCAGGAUCUGGCCCGUGGUCGCCACGUGUCCCGCGAUGCCCUGAUCGGCCGGGAUGCGGAUCUCAUAGCUCUGCCGGGGCAGAGAUGGAGUCGAGAGGAAGAAGUUAGUGACCCGGCCACAGAGGGGACUGUUAAACGUCGGGCCGCUCCCCAGCGCCGCCGGCGGACUCCCGGACACCCCUAGGGCCACAUGCUCCCUCCACACCCUCUCACCUCAUCAUCCACCACGCCCCCGUCGAACACCUUGGCCACCAGCUCAUUCUGAUCCAGCAGGAACACAGAGCAGCUGUGGAGGGAGGGGUUUGGUCCUCUGGGGCCUGACAACCCCCUCUGAUCGCCCUCACUUCUCAUAAAGAGGCAAAGGCCGGAUUUCCGAGGCCUGGGAGGAGUGCUCCAAGGCCCACCCAACUGUCAACACAGUUCCAUGCUGGUAGGUUCUGCAGCUCAGACCUAGGACUCCUGGAUCUCCACCCUACCCCAGCAGACCUCAGGCCCGGGCUCUGACACCUACCUAGUCCCAGGCUCUCUAGUGUCCACCUCCUGCAGGAGCUCCAGGCCCUGAAACCCAGCCUGUUUG